GAUGAACGCUGGCGGCGUGCCUAUUACAUGCAAGUCGAGCGAACAGACGAGUAGCUUGCUCCUCUGACGUUAGCGGCGGACGGGUGAGUAACACGUGGAUAACCUACCUAUCAGACUGGGAUAACUUCGGGAAACCGGAGCUACUACCGGAUAAUAUAUUGAACCGCAUGGUUCAAUAGUGAAAGACGGUUUUGCUGUCACUUAUAGAUGGAUCCGCGCCGCAUUAGCUAGUUGGUAAGGUAACGGCUUACCAAGGCAACGAUGCGUAGCCGACCUGAGAGGGGGGUCGGCCACACUGGAGCUGAGGCACGGUCCAGACUCCUACGGGAGGAAGCAGUAGGGAAUCUUCCGGAAUGGGCGGAAGCCUGACGGAGCAACGCCGCGUGGGGGAUGAAGGUCUUCGGAUCGUAAAACUCUGUUAUUAGGGGAGAACAAAUGUGUAAGUAACUAUGCACGUCUUGACGGUACCUAAUCAGAAAGCCACGGCUAACUACGUG
rnacentral:rRNA from 1 species